rnacentral:lncRNA from 1 species
AGCUUCAGCUCUUGAUGCGUAUCAGGAUGAGUUAUCUUCACAGGAGUAGGUUUUCGAGGACCAGUAAAUUUUCCUCCUUGAGGCUGGGAAUAUUGGUGACCCAUGCCAAUGCCCAUGUUGCCUAAUUGAUGGGACAACGGAUGGGGAAUGAAACUCAUGUUUUGGCUUUGAUACAUAAUCCCCUGAGGAUGCAUCGGAUGAGGCUGAAGGCCUUGAACAAAAACUUGAGGUUGCACUUGUGCAGCAUUUCCAAUUGGUAAAGGCAUAGGUAUGGGCAUCUGAAGGGAUGCUGUUGACAAACUCUGAGAUGGAAUCUGUGGAUUAGGACCACCAAACUGUAAAGAUGCCUGUGACUGGUGAUAUGGCAACGCCACCAUUGAAAUCCCAGAGGCAGGAACAGAAAGCUUCUGCAUCUGGUUUAAUGGGGUCAAAGCUGACACCUGAGGAUCCUGUUUAAAUUUUGUCCCCAUAUAAGGCUCCCCUGCAUUAGAUUGUUCAGUGAAACCUGCAUCUUUCCUAGAUGGUUGCUGCUGCCUUGGAACAGGAGGUACUGGCGCUGAAACCGCAGNNNNNNNNNNNNNNNNNNNNNNNNNNNNNNNNNNNNNNNNNNNNNNNNNNNNNNNNNNNNNNNNNNAUGACGAGUAUACAACAGAAGACACAACACUUGAUUUAAUAGUCACAGAAGCAACCCCUGACAUAUUAGGCACAUCACGGGAAAAUUCUACAUUAGUUGGUUCGACAAUGCCAGGAAUUGGGGUGUUAGCUUUACUAACAGAUACGGAGCUAAGUGAUGGGGAAUUCAUGAAACCGACAUUUUGUGGAGCAUGACUCACAGGAGAGUUAAAUAUUGGUGGCUGAGAAUUAGUAGUUAUCAGGCUAUUGGUCAUUGGAAGAGAACUAGAAGGUGGAUAGUAGAGAGAACUGGGAUUGUAUGAGCUGGGUGAAUAAUAGUUGAUAGGAUGAGAAGCAGAGAAAGAUUUAACAGGUUGGGAUUGAGAAGGUACAUUAGGAUGUGACCUAGCCCCAGAUGAUCCACCAUCUGAAUAAGCAUCUUCCCGUUUUUCAAGCUUCAGCUCUUGAUGCGUAUCAGGAUGAGUUAUCUUCACAGGAGUAGGUUUUCGAGGACCAGUAAAUUUUCCUCCUUGAGGCUGGGAAUAUUGGUGACCCAUGCCAAUGCCCAUGUUGCCUAAUUGAUGGGACAACGGAUGGGGAAUGAAACUCAUGUUUUGGCUUUGAUGCAUAAUCCCCUGAGGAUGCAUCGGAUGAGGCUGAAGGCCUUGAACAAAAACUUGAGGUUGCACUUGUGCAGCAUUUCCAAUUGGUAAAGGCAUAGGUAUGGGCAUCUGAAGGGAUGCUGUUGACAAACUCUGAGAUGGAAUCUGUGGAUUAGGACCACCAAACUGUAAAGAUGCCUGUGACUGGUGAUAUGGCAACGCCACCAUUGAAAUCCCAGAGGCAGGAACAGAAAGCUUCUGCAUCUGGUUUAAUGGGGUCAAAGCUGACACCUGAGGAUCCUGUUUAAAUUUUGUCCCCAUAUAAGGCUCCCCUGCAUUAGAUUGUUCAGUGAAACCUGCAUCUUUCCUAGAUGGUUGCUGCUGCCUUGGAACAGGAGGUACUGGCGCUGAAACCGCAUAAAAUUAAGCAAUUAGACAUUAAGAAAUAACUUAAAUUCUACGAAAGGUGAAAACAUAUAAAGCAAGCUAACUUCAACAAGACAAAGUACAAAUACAUAUGGCAUUCCUUUUUCAGAUUCUAUUUUCAAAUCAAGUUCCUUGUCAUAACAGAGAAUUUGAAGUAAAAAAGAAAAAGCUCUUUACUUCGUAUGUGGGGAGCAAUGGUUGUAACCAAUAUAAUUCAAGAAUUUAAGAGAAAAAAAGAAUAAAAGUGC